ACUCAAAGGAAUAGACGGGGGCCCGCACAAGCGGUGGAGCAUGUGGUUUAAUUCGACGCAACGCGAAGAACCUUACCUGGGCUCGAACGGCUUCAGCAACUCUAUGGAAACAUGGGGCCUCCCGCAAGGGACUGGAGUCGAGGUGCUGCAUGGCUGUCGUCAGCUCGUGUCGUGAGAUGUUGGGUUAAGUCCCGCAACGAGCGCAACCCUCGUCCUGUUUUGGCAAGCCGCAAGGCGCAACUAUCAGGAGACCGCCAGCGAUAAGUUGGAGGAAGGUGGGGAUGAUGUCAAGUCAUCAUGGCCUUUAUGUCCAGGGCUACACACGUGCUACAAUGGGCGGUACAAAGCGCCGCGAACCCGCGAGGGGAAGCUAAUCGCAAAAAACCGUCCUCAGUUCGGAUUGCAGGCUGCAACUCGCCUGCAUGAAGCUGGAAUCGCUAGUAAUGGUAUAUCAGAACGAUACCGUGAAUACGUUCCCGGGCCUUGUACACACCGCCCGU
rnacentral:rRNA from 1 species